GCUCGCCCCGCCCGGGGCCGCCGGGGCCAGAAGCCCGGGCGGGCGCGGGAGGGGUAGCCUCGGAGGCUCCUCGACCCCCGCUGGCCUCUCCGCGGCGGGCGGGUGGAUUGCGCACCCUCGGGAAAAGUGAAUUAACCUAGAAACGCCUCUUUGAUGAAGUGGUCUGAAUGAAAUGAGGGAGAAAGCCAAGUAGAUGUCUUGGGGAGGAACUACCCGGGCAGAGACAAGAGCAGGUGCAAUGGUUCUGAGGCCCAAGAAUGUUUGAUCUCCUUGGAGAAGUGGAUGAUUCUACAAUUGGAGCAGGAAAUUACAAGAUGACCUGGAACAUCUUGUCAUACCA